rnacentral:rRNA from 1 species
UACGUAGGGGGCAAGCGUUGUCCGGACUUACUGGGCGUAAAGCGCGUGCAGGCGGAUUGGUAUGUGCCGUGUGAAAGCUCUCGGCUUGCCCGGGAGAGGUCGCGGUAGACAGCCGAUCUGGAGGCUCGGAGAGGUUAGUGGAAUUCCCGGUGUAGUGGUGAAAUGCGUAGAUAUCUGGAGGAACAUCAGUGGCGAAAGGCGACACCCUGGACUCAUACUGACAACUGAGGUGCGAAAGGCGU